UUAUUUUUUUUUGAAUAAAAGUGUUGUUAGUAGAAUAGAAUAAAGGUUUUCUUUAUACCAAAAAGAAAGAAUUAAGGUUUCUUCUAGUCUGUUCAACUCAAUCGCCAUUCCUUCAGAUUAGGAAACCUAAAUCCCUUCAUUUGACGAAGUCUAUGUCGUCCCUCGUCUCAACUCAAGCGCUCUCUUCUUCGAACUCUCUGCGUUCAAUCUUCUGGAGAUCUAACUCAUCUGCAUUUGUCUUCAAUCAAGUUUUGUGUUUUCCCCCCUUCAAUUUCGCGGCCAUUCCUUCAAUUUCUCCGGUCAGUUCACCAAAACCCUAAUCUCAAAUCCAUUACCGUGAUGAAAGUAAGAGCAUCUAAUGAAGUCCGUGUUUUAUAUUUUUGCAUUUUCAAAAUCGAAGUGAGUUGUUUGAUAACAUUGUUGAACAGGUUGCGAUUGGGAAUGAGCGGUGGUGGGGAGGAGGAAUUCACGGCCCAUGGUUUGUUUGACCUUAUGAUUAGGGUUUGGAGAGAAGAUGCUCAAAGAAGUUUCUUCUUUCCAUUUUCUAACUUAUAUUACUAUUUUGUUAAUUUACUUUCUUUUCUUUUUUUUGUAUAUAGUUCUAACAUAAUACUAGUAUAGUAUUCUUAAUAACUCAUAAGUUUCCUGUUCUGAUUUUAGUUUUUUUGUUGAUUAUGUUGUUUUAGAUUAAGCAAAGCUCAUGUCUUAGUCUAUGGAAUGAAUGGAACAAAUAGAUGAAGUAAAGCUAUAAGUUGUCUAUAUGGUUUGACUGUUUUGUGCUGGUGGUUUUUGGGAUUGUUUGGCUGAUCUGUUUCAAUGCUUGGGGCCUUUCGUCUGCUGUAUUUUUUGGCCUGCAUUUAUCUACGGUUAAGGCAGCUGAUUACAGACCAACAACAAACAAUCAAUUCCAUCCUUGCUCGUCAAAAUAAAAUGAUUGCCGCAAGCUAAACAUGCAAAUAUAGAUAUGGAAUCAAUGAAUUUGAAUGAAGAUAAUCCUUUUUUUUUUGACGCAAGAUAAUCCUUUUGUUAGUUAUACUACUCAUGGAAGUAAUGCAAAUGAUGGUACAUAUGUUGAUGAGAACUAUUUGACGAUUUUGGAAUGUAGAACAUAAUAAUUAUUUAAAGUAUGAGUAAACACUUAGUUAUUAAAACUUUAACCUUUUGGAUUUAUUGAUAAAUACAAUUUUGAUA